rnacentral:tRNA from 1 species
GGCCUCGUAGCUUAGCUGGUAGAGCAAACGCGGUACUAAAGCGAGGGUGAUGACCAUGCGUGGGUUCGAAUCCCGCCGGGGCCA